CCUACGGGUGGCAGCAGUGAGGAAUAUUGGUCAAUGGGCGCGAGCCUGAACCAGCCAAGUAGCGUGAAGGAUGAAUGCCCUACGGGUUGUAAACUUCUUUUAUCAAGGAAUAAAGUGAGGCACGCGUGCCUUUUUGUAUGUACUUUAUGAAUAAGGAUCGGCUAACUCCGUGCCAUCAGCCGCGGUAAUACGGAGGAUCCGAGCGUUAUCCGGAUUUAUUGGGUUUAACGGGAGCGUAGAUGGGUUGUUAAGUCAGUUGUGAAAGGUGGGGGCUCAACCGGAAAAUUGCAAUUGAUACUGGCAGUCUAGAGUACAGGUGAGGUAGGCGGAAUUCGAGGGGUAGCGGUGAAAUGCGUAGAUAUCGCGAAGAACUCCGAUUGCGAAGGCAGCAUGCU
rnacentral:rRNA from 1 species